rnacentral:rRNA from 1 species
GCGAAUGGCUCAUUAAAUCAGUUAUCGUUUAUUUGAUAUUACCUUACUACUUGGAUAACCGUGGUAAUUCUAGAGCUAAUACAUGCUAAAAACCCCGACUUCGGAAGGGGUGUAUUUAUUAGAUAAAAAACCAUCGUCUUCGGACUUCUUGGUGAUUCAUAAUAACUAAACGUAGCGCAUGGCCUUGUGCUGGCGCAAAAUCAUUCAAAUACCUGCCCUAUCAAGCU